rnacentral:misc_RNA from 1 species
CCUCCUUUUAAAGGAGUAUCUCGGAGCGAUCCGAGAGAGGUCGAACCGGUAAUCGGUUAGACCGUCGCAUACUAUAGAAUUAUGGGCUUGUAGCUCAGGUGGUUAGAGCGCAUCCCUGAUAAGGAUGAGGUCCGUGGUUCGAGUCCACGCAGGCCCACUUGAAUUACAACCCUUAAAAAAUUAUGGGGCUGUAGCUCAGUUGGGAGAGCGCCUGAUUUGCAUUCAGGAGGUCGCAGGUUCGAUCCCUGUCAGCUCCACAGCAUUAAAAAUUUUAGUUUUUUGACAAUUUGGAAAUUGGAAAGAUUGAAUCACCUGUCCGGUGAUUCAAUGUAGCCAAGUCAUCUUCAAGAACAACACUUUGGUAAAGCUACUAAGGGUGUACGGGGGAUGCCUAGGCACAUGGAGACGAUAAGGACGUGAUAAGCUGCGAUAAGCCUCGGGUAGGUGCAAAUAACCUUAGAUCCGAGGAUUCCGAAUG